AAUACAGGGGGAGCAAGCGUUAUCCGGAAUGAUUGGGCGUAAAGCGUCUGUAGGUGGUUCUUUAAGUCUACUGUCAAAUACGUUGGCUCAACCAACGGCAGGCAGUGGAGUACUAAAGAACUAGAGUGCGGUAGAGGUAGAGGGAAUCCCUAGCGUAACAGUGAAAUGUGUAGAUUUUAGGGAGAACACCAGCGGCGAAGGCGCUCUACUGGGCCGAUACUGACACUGAGAGACGAAAGCUAGAGGAGCGAAUAGGAUUAGAUACCCUAGUAGUUCUAGCUGUAAACGAUGGAAACUAAGAGGGGGUAACCCCCUUCUGUAGCUAACGCGUUAAGUUUCCCGCCUGGGGAGUAUGCUCGCAAGAGUGAAACUCAAAGGAAUUGACGGGAGACCACACAAUAGGU
rnacentral:rRNA from 1 species